AACGAACGCUGGCGGCAGGCUUAACACAUGCAAGUCGAGCGCCCCGCAAGGGGAGCGGCAGACGGGUGAGUAACACGUGGGAAUCUACCCAUCCCUGCGGAACAACUCCGGGAAACUGGAGCUAAUACCGCAUACGCCCUACGGGGGAAAGAUUUAUCGGGGAUGGAUGAGCCCGCGUUGGAUCAGCUAGUUGGUGGGGU
rnacentral:rRNA from 1 species